rnacentral:sRNA from 5 species
AAGGAUAACGUUGCGUCAGCAACGGCCCGUAGGGCGAGGCGAAGCCGAGUCAUCCUGCACGACCCACCA